rnacentral:rRNA from 1 species
GUGGAGUCAUUGUUGAAAUACCACUCUGGUCACUCUGGAUAUCUAACUUCGGACCCUAAUCGGGUUCAGGGACAGUGCCUGAUGGGUAGUUUAACUGGGGCGGUUGCCUCCCAAAGAGUAACGGAGGCGCCCAAAGGUUCCCUCAACCUGGUUGGCAAUCAGGUGGCGAGUGUAAGUGCACAAGGGAGCUUGACUGUGAGACUGACAAGUCGAGCAGGGACGAAAGUCGGGACUAGUGAUCCGGCAGUGGCUUGUGGAAGCGCUGUCGCUCAACGGAUAAAAGGUACCUCGGGGAUAACAGGCUGAUCUUGCCCAAGAGUCCAUAUCGACGGCAUGGUUUGGCACCUCGAUGUCGGCUCGUCGCAUCCUGGGGCUGGAGUAGGUCCCAAGGGUUGGGCUGUUCGCCCAUUAAAGCGGUACGCGAGCUGGGUUUAGAACGUCGUGAGACAGUUCGGUCCCUAUCCGCUGCGCGCGCAGGAAAUUUGAGAAGAUCUAUCCCUAGUACGAGAGGACCGGGAUGGACGAACCUCUGGUGUGUCAGUUGUUCCGCCAGGAGCACCGCUGAUUAGCUACGUUCGGAACGGAUAACCGCUGAAAGCAUCUAAGCGGGAAGCCGGCUUCGAGAUGAGAUUUCCAUCCCUUCGGGGGAGAGGCUCCCAGCCAGACGACUGGGUUGAUAGGCCGGAUGUGGAAGACAGGACUAAAGACUGUCGGAGCUGACCGGUACUAAUAAGCCGAUAACUUGAUAA